rnacentral:SRP_RNA from 1 species
GCCGGGCACAGUGGCUUGUGCCUGUAAUCCAAGCUCCAGGGAGGCUGAAACUGGCAGAUGGCUUGAACUGAGAGGUUCUGGGCUGCAGCGAGCUGUGCUGAGCAGGCGUCUGUGCUAAGUUCAGCAUCGAUACAGUGGUCCUGGGGGAGCCAGGGGCCACCAGGUCACCUAAGGAGGGGUAAACCGGCCCAGGCUGGGGAGGGAGCAGGUCAAAGCUCCCGUGAUGAUCAGUAGUGGGAUCACGCCUGUGAACAGUCCCCGUAGCGCAGCCCGAGCGAGAGAGCGGGACCCAGUUUUCU